rnacentral:rRNA from 1 species
GUGAGGAAUUUUCCGCAAUGGGCGAAAGCCUGACGGAGCAAUGCCGCGUGAAGGAUGAAGGCCUAUGGGUUGUAAACUUCUUUUCUCAGAAAAGAAUUAUGACGGUAUCUGAGGAAUAAGCAUCGGCUAACUCUGUGCCAGCAGCCGCGGUAAGACAGAGGAUGCAAGCGUUAUCCGGAAUGAUUGGGCGUAAAGCGGCUGUAGGUGUUUUACAAAGUAUUAUGUCAAAGAUUAGGGCUUAACCCUAGAUAGGCAGAAUAAACUUUUAAGCUAGAGUUUGGUAGAGGCAGAGGGAAUUCCCGGUGGAGCGGUGAAAUGCGUAGAUAUCGGGAGGAACACCAAAGGCGAAGGCACUCUGCUGGGCCAAUACUAACACUGAGAGACGAAAGCGAGGGGAGCAAAUGGGAUUAGAAACCCGAGUAGUCC